rnacentral:rRNA from 1 species
UACGGAGGGUGCAAGCGUUGUUCGGAAUCACUGGGCGUAAAGCGCGUGUAGGCGGCUAUCUAAGUCUGAUGUGAAAGCCCUGGGCUCAACUCAGGAAGUGCAUUGGAUACUGGAUAGCUGGAGUACCGGAGAGGAGGGUGGAAUUCCUGGUGUAGCGGUGAAAUGCGUAGAUAUCAGGAGGAACACCGGUGGCGAAAGGCGUCCCUCUGGCCGGAUACUGACGUGAGACGCGAAAGCGUGGGGAGCAAACAGG